rnacentral:rRNA from 1 species
ACCGCGCGGACUCGCCUUAAAGUCAUUGGCAGCAGACUCGGUAGCUAAUUGCGCAGCACAUCGCGCCAGAAGCUCCCAGUCCGCUAUCCACGAGCACAGUCUCAUCAGUUUGACCUCGGAUCAGGUAGGGAUACCCGCUGAACUUAAGCAUAUCAAUAAGCGGAGGAAAAGAAACCAACAGGGAUUGCCCUAGUAACGGCGAGUGAAGCGGCAACAGCUCAAAUUUGAAAUCUGGCUCCUUCGGGGUCCGAGUUGUAAUUUGUAGAGGGUGCUUUGGCGUCGGCCAUGGUCUAAGUUCCUUGGAACAGGGCGUCACAGAGGGUGAGAAUCCCGUACGUGGCCGCUGGCCUUCGCCAUGUAAAGCCCCUUCGACGAGUCGAGUUGUUUGGGAAUGCAGCUCUAAAUGGGAGGUAAAUUUCUUCUAAAGCUAAAUAUUGGCCAGAGACCGAUAGCGCACAAGUAGAGUGAUCGAAAGAUGAAAAGCACUUUGGAAAGAGAGUCAAAAAGCACGUGAAAUUGUUGAAAGGGAAGCGCUUGCAGCCAGACUUGCCCGUAGUUGCUCAUCUAGGUUUCGGCCUGGUGCACUCUUCUGCGGGCAGGCCAGCAUCAGUUCAGGCGGUCGGAUAAAGGUCUCGGGAAUGUGGCUCUU